rnacentral:tRNA from 1 species
ACCUUUAAUAUUUCUUUAUUUGCAUUAAAGAAGAGGACUGUUUAAGUCCUAAAGGUA